AACGAACGCUGGCGGCGUGGAUAAGACAUGCAAGUCGAGCGGGAUAUUAUUUGUAGCAAUACAAAUGAUGUUCAGCGGCGCAAGGGUGCGUAACACGUGGGCAAUCUGCCGAGAAGUGGGGGAUAGCUCGCCGAAAGGCGAAUUAAUACCGCAUGUGGUUAAGGACGACAUCUUCCUGACACCAAAGCCGGGGCAACCUGGCGCUUCUUGAUGAGCCCGCGGCCCAUCAGCUAGUUGGCGGGGUAACGGCCCACCAAGGCUAUGACGGGUAGCUGGUCUGAGAGGACGACCAGCCACACUGGAACUGAGACACGGUCCAGACACCUACGGGUGGCAGCAGUCGAGAAUUUUUCUCAAUGGGGGAAACCCUGAAGGAGCGACGCCGCGUGGAGGAUGAAGGUCUUCGGAUUGUAAACUCCUGUCAUUUGGGAACAAUUGCUACGCGUUAACUGCGCGGAGUUUGAUAGUACCAGAAGAGGAAGAGACGGCUAACUCUGUGCCAGCAGCCGCAGUAAUAC
rnacentral:rRNA from 1 species